AGUGAACGCUGGCGGUAGGCCUAACACAUGCAAGUCGAACGGCAGCACAGUAGGAGCUUGCUCUUACGGGUGGCGAGUGGCGGACGGGUGAGGAAUACAUCGGAAUCUACUUUUUCGUGGGGGAUAACGUAGGGAAACUUACGCUAAUACCGCAUACGACCUACGGGUGAAAGCAGGGGAUCUUCGGACCUUGCGCGAUUGAAUGAGCCGAUGUCGGAUUAGCUAGUUGGCGGGGUAAAGGCCCACCAAGGCGACGAUCCGUAGCUGGUCUGAGAGGAUGAUCAGCCACACUGGAACUGAGACACGGUCCAGACUCCGACGGGAGGCAGCAGUGGGGAAUAUUGGACAAUGGGCGCAAGCCUGAUCCAGCCAUACCGCGUGGGUGAAGAAGGCCUUCGGGUUGUAAAGCCCUUUUGUUGGGAAAGAAAAGCAGCAGGUUAAUACCCCGCUGUUCUGACGGUACCCAAAGAAGAAGCACCGGCUAACUUCGUG
rnacentral:rRNA from 1 species